CAGGCUUGUAGCUCAGGUGGUUAGAGCGCACCCCUGAUAAGGGUGAGGUCGGUGGUUCAAGUCCACUCAGGCCUACC
rnacentral:tRNA from 4 species